rnacentral:rRNA from 1 species
ACGGGAGGCAGCAGUGAGGAAUAUUGGUCAAUGGGCGGAAGCCUGAACCAGCCAUCUCGCGUGCAGGACUACGGCCCUACGGGUCUUAAACUGCUUUUAUGGGGGGAUAAAGUCGGGCAUUCGUGUCCGUUUGCAGGUACCCCAUGAAUAAGGAUCGGCUAACUCCGUGCCAGCAGCCGCGGUAAUACGGAGGAUCCGAGCGUUAUCCGGAUUUAUUGGGUUUAAAGGGUGCGCAGGCGGCCCGUUAAGUCAGCGGUGAAAUGUCGGGGCUCAACCCGGGCACUGCCGUUGAAACUGGGGGGCUUGAGUACGGAUGAGGUCGGCGGAAUGUGACGUGUAGCGGUGAAAUGCAUAGAUAUGUCACAGAACACCGAUUGCGAAGGCAGCCGGCCAAUCCGCAACUGACGCUCAUGCACGAAAGCGUGGGGAUCGAACAGGAUUAGAUACCCUGGUA